ACUAUGAACCAUUCUAACGGUUCCUCUACUCGCAAAUGUUGGGACGGUCCCAACCGCUCGCGG
rfam:Candidatus Saccharimonas aalborgensis, complete genome.